rfam:Schistosoma haematobium scaffold205_22, whole genome shotgun sequence.
AUCCAGCUGACGGGUUCCAAAUAGGACGAAACGUGUGUCCUGGAU